rnacentral:rRNA from 11 species
GGUUGAGAACCACUGCCCUAAAGGCUUCAGAUCCCAUCUUGUCUUGGAAGCUAACGAGGGUCAGACCUGCUUAAUACAUGGGUGGGAGACUGACAAUAAAUAUCAGGUGCUGCAGGCU